rnacentral:rRNA from 1 species
AUUGAACGCUGGCGGCAGGCCUAACACAUGCAAGUCGAACGGUAACAGGAAGCAGCUUGCUGCUUUGCUGACGAGUGGCGGACGGGUGGGUAAUGUCUGGGAAACUGCCUGAUGGAGGGGGAUAACUACUGGAAACGGUAGCUAAUACCGCAUAACGUCGCAAGACCAAAGAGGGGGACCUUCGGGCCUCUUGCCAUCGGAUGUGCCCAGAUGGGAUUAGCUAGUAGGUGGGGUAACGGCUCACCUAGGCGACGAUCCCUAGCUGGUCUGAGAGGAUGACCAGCCACACUGGAACUGAGACACGGUCCAGACUCCUACGGGAGGCAGCAGUGGGGAAUAUUGCACAAUGGGCGCAAGCCUUAUGCAGCCAUGCCGCGUGUAUGAAGAAGGCCUUCGGGUUGUAAAGUACUUUCAGCGGGGAGGAAGGGAGUAAAGUUAAUACCUUUGCUCAUUGACGUUACCCGCAGAAGAAGCACCGGCUAACUCCGUG